CAAGCAUAAGAAUAGGUGAGCAAGGAGUAGGGUGGUGGAAAUUAGGUGGAGAGAGGAGGGCAUUUAGUGGCUGGAAUAAUAAAACUUGUUCCAGCAUUGGAUAUGAGGGUAAGGAAAUUGCAAGACUGAAGGAUGACACACAGACAAACUAGCAAGUGGCAGAAUAAAACUAAAGGGACCUUCAAGACGUGCUGUGGAUGCACAGAGGAAGGAGUGUGGAGGAAUUCCAUGCCACAAAAUUAUAAGGACUCCCAGACCCCAGGACUGUGACUGAAGUUGGAAGAAUGGCCGGUAGAACGACUGACAAGCCCAGCACAACACAAAUGAUGUCCCCAUUUUGCCCUCAGCAGGCACUAGUCAGAGAAGAGGACAAGAUAGAUGAUACCAAAGCGGCCAACGAGUUUAAAACUCUUUUUGCGCAGUAGGAAUGACUCCAUGAAGAUUUCUCAUCAUGGAGCCCAGACUAGAUGGACCCAAAUCUCCAGACUCCCAGCUCUUCUGUAAACCCCAUCCUGAUUCUCUGAGUCUCUGAAUCUUUUAUCCUCAUUUUCUUCCCAACUGUCCAUAAUGUAGAAUUUAAAUAAAAGAUUAAAUGUAAUCUUUAUAACAUUAUUAUAUUAUUGAACAGUUUCAGGUUUCUUGUUCUUAUUUACAAAAAACUAAUAAGUAGAAAUUUUAUACUUCUCUGAGCAUAAAACUAUACAAAAUAAAAAUUAUAUAAAAUUAAUUUGAUUUUCACUUAUGAGGUCUAUAAUUAUUCCCUUCAUGGUUAAUUAUCCUCAAUAGGAAACAAAUGGUUUCCUACCUUCUUACUAAGUUACAAAACUCUCAUUUAUUAAUAAUCAUUUAUAUUAAUAAUAAUUACUAAAUUGAAUAUGCCAGCUCUUACCAGAUUUAUGCUAGACUUUAAUAAGUCCCUCUCUUCCCAGAAGCAGGAACAAAGUAGAGAUGCAUCAAAUGAGCUAAAUCUAAUCUAAUUUUCCUUAUUGAGACUGGUUCUUAGGACCCUUCUUUCAUACUCUGGAAACUGGGACACACUUGUAAAUAUUAAGU
rnacentral:lncRNA from 1 species